rnacentral:rRNA from 1 species
GAUGAACGCUGGCGGCGUGCCUAAUACAUGCAAGUCGAACGAAGCGGGGACGGGUGCGUAACCCGUGGAUAACCUCCUCUACGACUGGGAUAACUUCGGGAAACCGGAGCUAAACCUGAUACUUAUAGAUGGAUCCGCGCUGCAUUAGCUCGUUGGUAAGGUAACGGCUUACAAAGGCAACGAUGGAUAGCCGACCUGCGAGGGUGAGCGGACACAGUGGAACUGAGACACGGACCAGAAUCCGACGGGAGGCAGCAGUAGGGAAUGUGCGGAAAGGGGCGAAAGCCUGACGGGGCAACGCGGCGGGAGGGAGGAAGGGCUUCGGAGCGUAAAACUUUGUUAUUAGGGAAGCGGUACCUAAUCAGAAAGCCACGGCUAACUACGUGCCAGCAGCCGCGGUAAUAC